rnacentral:rRNA from 1 species
UACGUAGGAUGCAAGCGUUGUCCGGAGUUAUUGGGCGUAAAGCGCACGUAGGCGGUGCGGUAAGUGUGGUGUGAAAUCUGCGGGCUUAACCCGCAGCGGUCGCUGCAGACUGCCGUGCUUGAGGGCUGGAGAGGAAGAUGGAAUUCCCGGUGUAGUGGUGAAAUGCGUAGAUAUCGGGAGGAACACCAGUGGCGAAGGCGGUCUUCUGGCCAGUUUCUGACGCUGAGGUGCGAAAGCUAGGGGAGCGAACGGG